rnacentral:rRNA from 1 species
UGAGUACGAGACGCUAAGGCGUCGAAGUAGUGUAUGUCAUACUUCCAAGAAAAGCUUGCACUGUCAUAGAUAAAAAACGCCUGUACCAUAACCGACACAGGUGGGUAGGUAGAGCAUACUAAGGGGCGCGAGAUAACUCUCUCUAAGGAACUCGGCAAAAUAACUCCGUAACUUCGGGAGAAGGAGUGCCUUAUUCGUAAGGUUGCAAUAACAAGAUCCAAGCAACUGUUUAUCAAAAACACAGGUCUCCGCUAAGUCGUAAGACGAUGUAUGGGGGCUGACGCCUGCCCAGUGCCAGAAGGUUAAAGAAGUUGGUUAGCAAUUGCGAAGCUGGUAACUGAAGCCCUGGUGAACGGCGGCCGUAACAAUAACGGUCCUAAGGUAGCGAAAUUCCUUGUCGGGUAAGUUCCGACCCGCACGAAAGGCGUAAUGAUUUGGAUACUGUCUCGGAGAGGGGCUCGGUGAAAUAGACUUGUCUGUGAAGAUGCGGACUACCUGCACCAGGACAGAAAGACCCUAUGAAGCUUUACUGUAACUUGAAAUUGAAAUUGGACUUUAUUCGCGCAGUAUAGGUGGGAGGCGUUGAUUAUAAUCUCGUGGGAUUAUUGGAGCCAUUAGUGAGAUACCACUCUUGUAAUGUUAGAUUUCUAACUUUGAAUCAUUAUCUGGUCAAAGAACAGUUUCAGGCGGGCAGUUUGACUGGGGCGGUCGCCUCCCAAAUGGUAACGGAGGCGUACAAAGGUUUCCUCUGAACGGUUAGAAAUCGUAUCUAGAGUGUAAAGGCAUAAGGAAGCUUGACUGUGAGACCUACAAGUCGAGCAGGGACGAAAGUCGGUCUUAGUGAUCUGACGGUACUGAGUGGAAAGGCCGUCACUCAACGGAUAAAAGUUACUCUAGGAUAACAGGCUGAUCUCCCCCAAGAGUUCACAUCGACGGGGAGGUUUGGCACCUCGAUGUCGGCUCAUCGCAUCCUGGGGCGGUAGUACGUCCCAAGGGUUGGGCUGUUCGCCCAUGAAAGCGGUACGCGAGCUGGGUUCAGAACGUCGUGAGACAGUUCGGCCCAUAUCCGGUGUAGGCGUUAGAAUAUUGAGAGGAGCCUUCUUUAGUACGAGAGGACCGAGAAGGACAUACCUCUGGUGUACCAGUUAUCGUGCCAACGGUAAACGCUGGGUAGCUAUGUAUGGAGUGGAUAACCGCUGAAAGCAUCUAAGUGGGAAGCCCACCUCAAGAUAAG